GACGAACCGUGCGAACGUUGUUCGGAUUCACUGGGCAUAAAGGGCGCGUAGGCGGACGGUCAAGUCGGGGGUGAAAUCUUUCAGCUUAACUGGAAAAGUGCCUCCGAUACUGAUCGUCUCGAGGGAGGUAGGGGCAUGUGGAACUUCCGGUGGAGCGGUGAAAUGCGUAGAGAUCGGGAGGAACACCAGUGGCGAAGGCGGCUACCUGGACCAGCACUGACACUGAGGCACGAAAGCGUGGGGGAGCAAACAGG
rnacentral:rRNA from 1 species